UACGUAGGGGGCAAGCGUUGUCCGGAAUCAUUGGGCGUAAAGCGCGUGUAGGCGGUCCGAUAAGUCGGGUGUGAAAGUCCAGGGCUCAACCCUGGGAUGCCGACCGAUACUGUCGGACUAGAGUUCGGAAGAGGCGAGUGGAAUUCCCGGUGUAGCGGUGAAAUGCGCAGAUAUCGGGAGGAACACCAAUGGCGAAGGCAGCUCGCUGGGACGUUACUGACGCUGAGACGCGAAAGCGUGGGGAGCAAACAGG
rnacentral:rRNA from 1 species